AGAACGAACGCUGGCGGCAGGCCUAACACAUGCAAGUCGAACGCUCCAGCAAUGGAGAGUGGCAGACGGGUGAGUAACGCGUGGGAACCUUCCCUAUGGUUCGGAAUAGCUCAGGGAAACUUGGGGUAAUACCGGAUAAGCCCUUCGGGGGAAAGAUUUAUCGCCAUUGGAUGGGCCCGCGUCGGAUUAGCUAGUUGGUGGGUAACGGCCCACCAAGGCAACGAUCCGUAGCUGGUCUGAGAGGAUGAUCAGCCACACUGGAACUGAGACACGGUCCAGACUCCUACGGGAGGCAGCAGGUGGGGAAUAGUUGGACAAGUGGGGGCAACCCGUGAUCCAGCCAUGCCGCGUGUGUGAAGAAGGCCGUUACGGGUU
rnacentral:rRNA from 1 species